UACAGAGGGCUCAAGCGUUGUUCGGAUUCAUUGGGCGUAAAGGGUGCGUAGGCGGCGCGGUAAGUCGGGUGUGAAAUCUCGGAGCUUAACUCCGAAACUGCAUUCGAUACUGCCGUGCUUGAGGACUGGAGAGGAGACUGGAAUUUACGGUGUAGCGGUGAAAUGCGUAGAUAUCGUAAGGAAGACCAGUGGCGAAGGCGGGUCUCUGGACAGUUCCUGACGCUGAGGCACGAAAGCCAGGGGAGCAAACGGG
rnacentral:rRNA from 1 species